UGUCAUCGUAGAGAAUGAAAAUCCAGAGGACAGGGGAAGGCAGAGAGACUUGUUCACAGCGUCGAGAUGGAAUCGUUCACAACUUCGAAUUAAGGGUGAAGCGACGUGGGCGGAAUUCGAUCCGAUCGCCACGGCCUCGACGCCCAUAAACAUCCUGGAUCCUGAUCCUCUCCCAAAGCACGGCUUCCAUCUGAGAUCGCCUGAGCUCGUCUCCCUACGAACUCCUCCAUAAUCGCCAGGCUCCAUCUUUCCAUCCCGACUCCGUGCGCGAAUUUUCCUGUGGUGGAGAGGCUGAUCGAUGAACGCCGCAGCGCCGGCGGCGGCUCGGGGUGGCAUCCCGCGGCAACCGUAUGACAGUGAAACUUGGUCAGCUUCUACUGUUUGUCAGCUGGGUACGUCUUCAUCACUAGUCGUUUUUGAAGUCGGAAGCGAUUGGGCAUCUGUUUCUGGUAAGUGCUCUUUCCCUGCGGGUUCAGUCAUUCAGGUAAUCUGCAUUCUAGGUGCGUUCUUAGCAUUCAGGUGAUUGCAGUCGACGGUGAACUCACGAACGCGCACACGAACACAAGUUGUGGAACACCGGUGCUAGGUGCUGCUGUAAACGGACAGCUUUUCUCCUUGUAUUAUCAGCGAAGUAAUCUGCCUCGUUUGGACCGCACCUACACAGUACCGGCCGUGCCAUCCCACGACCACGCAGACGCCAAGUUUGCGCGGUCGUGGGAUGACGCGGUAGGCAAUGCGCAAGUGCUGUCCAAAUGAGACACAUUAGUUGCUAAUUUAAGAUGUAGUUUCACUUUAAAUAGUUUAAGAAUACAAGGAUAAAAGCUGCUUGUUUAUAGUAGCACCAAAUAACCAUAUUCAACCUUGUGUCCGUGUGUGUUGGUGAGAUAACUGGCGGUCAGAAUCGCGGUGAACUGAGGUCAGAGGGAGAGAAGCGGAGGGGGACUGAGGGGAAAGGCUGAACCAGAUGGGAGUAAGUGGGAACAAAGAUGGAGGUGAAGGUGUGGCAGAGACUGGUCGGCAUAGCCUUGGCGAUAAUGUGAGGCAAAGCAAAAUCAAGGGUUUAUGGGGUUUUAGGAUCAUUGUACGGUAUUUCCUCACCACUCACAAGCUAACAUGGAUCAUGCCUAUAGGAUAGCCCAAUUCAACCUUUUUAGGCAAAACGUUAUUCGUGGUUUUUUUCGAUGGGGAUGGGGUCAAUGCGAAAUAGCCUAAAAGUUACGCAAUGUUAAUUAUACGUGCGCUCGAGUGCUGCUGGCGCCGACAACGGCAAGUCCGCGCGCGUGGUAGUGGUUCCCGAGCCCGCGCAAAGACCGCGCGUGGUGUUUGAGUUUUUUUUUUCUUUUUUCUUUUUCUUUUUUCUCCAUUCAAUUAUUUUUUUAUCGUACCAUCUGUACUGUAUGGAUAUCGUUCGUGUACAGCUUAUGUUCAUAAGUUGUCUAACAACAUUUUUAUAAAAAUUGUGACAAAAAUAUUUGCAUAAAUUGUGUAUAUUAUGUUCAUAAGUGCUGCUAAAAUUGGUAGCAUUUCUGGAUAUAUUGAUCAACUAUUCAGAGGAAAAUUUACAAGCUAAACACGGUUACUAGCCUGCCCUAUAUGCAUAGUACGCACACUGAUUGAUCAUGCGAUCCCAUGAUCACGAACUUGCCACAUAUGACUCGGACAGCUCCAGCGUGAACUCUUAUGCGUUGAGCCUAGAAACUCAUACAACCACAACAACAAGACAUGAAUCGAGAUGAAACACUAACAAAACAAAAUGUAAACAAAGUAAAUAAAGUGAUAUAGCUAAUUAGUGACAUGGUAGAGAGACCUGAGGAUCAUACGGGCAUCAAAACUCUUGGGUUGAUACGCAUGGAUCAUAUAUGGACUCUCCAAAACAAAAGGCCGACUUGGGUAGUGUUGUGCCUUUUAAAAAGGGGGCGAGUAAAGCGGAGACGGCGACGGUGACGCCAAGAAGAGCAUCGGCGCGGGCGCCGGCACCGGGGAGGAGCAUCAGGCCAAGAAGGUCGAGCUGUGAGGAGAGAAGUGAGGAGGGCGACUCUGCUCCCCGCGUGCUUGUUGUCGGCAUGAUUUGGGAGUCCACGUGUAUCCUGCAUGUCUGCUGUCAUGUAAGUGUGCAAGGUUAACUCGAGAAUAAACGAUUUCUGAUCUUCCUUGCGUUUAGGGAAAAAAAAUCUUGUGACCUUGGCAAACGGCAUGAGCCCAAAUCCUCGAUCCGAGAAAAAAUGAUAUGAGUAACUUGAGAGGCAAUAUGGGUCCACCUGUCAACUGUCAUUGUUGGGAAUGAGAAUUGAGAGGGCAGGGGAAGGCAGAGAGGACCUGUUCACAGCGUGCAACUUGGAAUGGUUUAGCGACGUGAGCGGAAUUCGAUCCGAUCGCCACGGCCUCGACGCCCAUAAACAUCCUGAAUCAUGUUCCUCUCCCAAAGCACGGCUUCCAUCUGAUCGCCUAAGCUCUUCUCGGCCGACGAUGAACGCCGCAGCGCCGGCAGCGGCUCGGGGUGGCAUCCGGUGGCAACCGUGUAGCAGUGAGACUCGGUUUUUGUUUCCACUGUUUCUCAGGGUACGUCUUCACUCGUCGUUUUAGAAGUCGGAGGAAGCAAUCGCGCAUCUAUGCAUCCGGUAACUGCUCUCUGCCUGUACGUUCAGUCAUUUGAUAAUCUGUGUAUUCGAGGUGUGUAGCCUUUGGUUCCUGUGAUUUGUUCUGAUUACUAGCAGCCGAAAAGCUUAUUUGCUGCCUUAGCUAUUAAAAAUAACUUAAAAUACCCUUCUAUUUGUAUCUAAAUUAUCCACAUAUGAUGUUAUUGAAAAUAAUCUAAAGUAAACACCUAAUCUUAAUACAAUUAUCUGCAUAUUCAUUAUACGGAAAUGUCCAAAAGUGAAUCAAUAUAUGAUUAUAAUGAAUUGCAUGAGAAGAUCAGCAUCAUCAAGUUCAAGUGAACCGUGCAAGUAUUAAGGGGAGAUUAUUGUUAGAUAAUAUUGGCACUGUUGAAAAUUCUAACCACCAAGUUAGCAUACUGCAUUUCAUUUUCCUUGAUUCACCUAAUGUGCUCGGAUGUAGCUGAAUCGAGAUCGUCUCUACAUGUCCAAGGCAUGCACGUUCAUGCAGGGGCUUUCCUAGUUUCGUUCACUUGUAACACGCGAAACGCCUUUGAGCUUUGUGUGAUAUGGCAAGGCUUGUGCGAGGUAGCGUGGCAGACGUCACGCGCGUCUCGUGGUGAUUAUGGCCAACACUUCAAGUCCUAAUGUUUAUUCUAUUUAAAGCAAUAGAGUCAAGAAAACGCUGCAGUUUCUUAUUUGCAACACCAAUCUAUAGAGUCCAUGGUGUUCUUGUGUUCAAGAGCUCGUCUUCAUCGUCUUGGCGUCAAAUAGAACAUACGCUACAGACUUCAAGUAGUGGCCAUGAUUAGGAAAGUCCUGCAUGAACGCGCAUGCAUCGGACAUGUACAGAUGCUCUCAAUUCAGCUAUAACCGAGCAAACUACAGAAAUGUGGGCUUAGUUCAGCUCUAAGUUAAUAUGCAAUCAGUAGGGAGCAAUUCCUCUUUUUUUAUAAAAAAAAGAUUAGUUCUCAUCUAUUGAACUGCCAGUGAACUAAUUUAGAAGAACCAGUCUACACUCUACACGCUACCCCAAAUCAUCCCUCUCGAAGACACUAUCCAUCUCAUCUUUUUUAAGAACCCGUAUAGAAUCCGUGUGUAAUAUCCCAAGAGUUCCGAACUUCUAGUUCUCGAAUGGCCCCGGGCUAAGGUGACCCAUUCUCACUCUCUAGCGUAUCCCUUGAUUAGCUACCUCACUUUAUUUACCUAUUUUCUUUCUAUUUUGUUUUGUUGGUAUUUCAUCUUGAUUUAUGGCUCCGUUGUAAGCAGUGGUCGUAUCAGUUAACAGGCUCAACGCAUGCGAGUUCAUGCGGGGGCAGUCCGGCUCAUGCAUGGCAUGUUCUUAGUCGUGGGAUGGCAUGAUCGAUCGUGUGUGCGUGCCGUGCAAAUAGGGCAGGCUAUCCUUCCCUAGAUGUGUGGUACCCAGGCACGAAUAACUGCGCUAUCCCAUAACCACGAAUGUGCCACGACUCUGACAGCUCCCGCGUCAACUCUCGUACGUUGAGCCUACAAACCAUACAGCCACAAUAACAACGGAGCCAUGAAUCGAGAUGAUGAAACACUAAUGAAACAAAAUAUAAACAAAAGAAAUAAAGUGAGAUAACUCAUCAGUGAUGCAGACGUAUGCUAGAGAGGAAUGAGAAAUUGGCCACCUUAGCCCGAGGGCUGAACAUGCAUCAGAACUCGAGUUGAUAUGCACAGAUCAUAAAUGAGAAAAAAGGACGAGUUAGAUAGUGUUGUGCCUCAAGGACUGAAUGGAGCUCGCCUGCAGCCAUGGCCGCUAGCUAGCCACGGUGCCACACCAUCACGUCGGGCAGCAGCGGUGGCUAUCUACCAGGCAUUCGUCGGAUUGUCCAUGUGAUGGGUCUGAUGAGCCAAAUUAAAAAUUAGGAUCGUGGUUUGAGAUCAAGAUAAAGAUUAAUCAUUGGGCAUUAGUACUAACGAUUUGCAAGUGUUUCAAAAUUGAACGUCUAAUGAUAGAGAUUUGCAUAUUUGAGCGAUUAAUUCUGGGGUUUUCGCUGCUUUGGGUAUUACUACAAAGGUUCAAUUGGGAAUAUAAUGCUGUCAAUGUGCGCGGUUCAUUUCUGAUGAUUUUGUUUCUAACCUUAAAAUGGUAACGAACUGAAUUACGAGGGAGAUUGCUCUUCGAUUCCUGACCUUACUGGUUGGGAAAUCGUAUGUGAGCUCGAGCAAAAUGGUUGUGCAAACAUGCAUACAUAUACAUGGAUUAAGAUAUCACAGUCCUGCGCAGUUGGCUGAGCUAAAUUUUGAAACACGUACGAAAACGAGAAAAAUGUAAGGCAGCACAGCGCAGUACUUCAGUUGCAGACUCAGUAGAUUUCAGUCAAUAACUGAAACUUAAACCCUUAUGAAAAAUGUUGUCGCUAUGGCUCUAGAUCUUUGCAAUUUUGUCAGGGAGCGUGUGCAUGAGCCUUUUGCCCAUGGUGGAUGUGUAUAACGUCCUUAUGGUUGUGCAAAUGUGCAACUAUGUCUAGUUGACUUUAUGAGUGAAUCCAUUUGUUACCUUUUUUAAAACAAUGAUGAUAUAUUUCUGACUUUUCCUAUGAGGAUGCAACAGACCACAACUAUUAUAGAAAGUAGCUACAUCUAUGAGGUUAGGUCUAUUGUUACACGAUCACCAGAUUACCCUAUUGUUAGUUAAAUGGUAUUUACUAUCGCUCACUAGAUUACCCUGUGCUCCUAACCUCCAGGAAGCUCUACGGGCCUUCAAUGACGAGUCACAUCUUUGGCAGAUGGCUGGAGCCAAAGGGCUUGCAGCCCUGGACUCAGGACGGGUGGCUGCAUAGAUUGUUAGAUAUGUUGUGGUCAGGUCUUAGUUGUGAGUGUUUUACUGUAAGAAUCUAUUGUCAAAACUCAAGCAUCCUUCACUCUGGUCCAAGGUGAUGUGAUGUUUCUUUUGUAAUUGGACCAUCAUUUCCUUCUCUUAGUACAAAGAUGCGCAGCUCUCUUGCGUGUUCGAGAAAAAAACUAGAUUACCCUGUUCAGUGCCCCAAUUGUUUCAGUCCUAGUAGUUUCAGUUGCUAAACCAGUUCUAGCUGCUUCUAAACCUGUAAAGAAUAUGUCAAUGAGAUAGCUAGGUGCAUGGUCAACAGACUUGCAUCUGGACUUGAUCAGGAAAUCUUAUUAGA